rnacentral:tRNA from 1 species
GCGAGAGUGCUGGAAUCGGCAGACAGGCACGCUUGAGGGGCGUGUGAAGUAUCUUCGUGUGGGUUCAAGUCCCAUCUCUCGCACCA